GACGAACGCUGGCGGCGUGCCUAAUACAUGCAAGUAGAACGCACAGUUUAUACCGUAGCUUGCUACACCAUAAACUGUGAGUUGCGAACGGGUGAGUAACGCGUAGGUAACCUGCCUGGUAGCGGGGGAUAACUAUUGGAAACGAUAGCUAAUACCGCAUAAUAUUGAUUAUUGCAUGAUAAUUGAUUGAAAGAUGCUAUUGCAUCACUACCAGAUGGACCUGCGUUGUAUUAGCUAGUAGGUGAGGUAACGGCUCACCUAGGCGACGAUACAUAGCCGACCUGAGAGGGUGAGCGGCCACACUGGGACUGAGACACGGCCCAGACUCCUACGGGAGGCAGCAGUAGGGAAUCUUCGGCAAUGGACGAAAGUCUGACCGAGCAACGCCGCGUGAGUGAAGAAGGUUUUCGGGUCGUAAAGCUCUGUUGUAAGAGAAGAACGGGUGUGAGAGUGGAAAGUUCACACUGUGACGGUAUCUUACCAGAAAGGGACGGCUAACUACGUG
rnacentral:rRNA from 1 species